rnacentral:lncRNA from 1 species
ACAAAAAAAAAAAAUUCCCCAAAGUAUUUAGCUUUGCAUAAUUAAGAUUAAUUCCCCAUUAAAGAUCCUAGAAGUGUUUGGAUUAAACAAUAUAACCAGCCCUAAUACUUAUGGAAGUGGUAGAGGAAGCUCGAAUCAGCUACUCGUUGCCUUGCAUGGAGGGGACGAUCAUAUGAUGUCCUUGUGCCUGUAAAGGAAAUCGAACCAUUGAAAUACAAGUGAGAAAUACAAUUUUGAGUUCUUGAUUAUGCAUCAUAAAAACAUGCAUCAUACAUGCAACUGAAACUUAUCAAUGUCUUAAAUCUUCAAGGGACAUGGUUGGUGUAAUGUUUGCUUUAAGCACAUUGGUCUGAAGCCUUUUUGACACGAGAUCUAUCAGAUCAUAACUAUAUUAGCUCCCAGUUUGGCCGGACAGGUGCUAUCAUGCCAUUGUGGAAACUGGGAAUUAAUAUUAAUAUUACAUGAAAAUCACAUCAUAUGUAUGACAAUAAAGCUUCUGGUAAUGUUAGCUAUCCAAUCAAUCAAAUUUUAGUGAAAAUUAUACUAUGUUAGGUGCAGAGUCCCAUCCUCAUUGGAGAAAAAAGUUACCUUGAAAGUAGUCUGACGGGAAAAUUAUGGUGUGCAAUGCUUUAGAUAUUUCAAUACCUCAUUUUUCAAGGAUUAGUUAAUAUACUUUUUGGCACUUAUUUUGAUACAUGUUUUUUUUUUUUUUUUCACUUUGGUAGUUGAACUUACCAACUAGAUUUAUUUUGAUCAUUGAACUUGAAAAAAUGAAAAAAUUGAUAAAGUAACAUCCGGAGAUUGUGCCACAUCAGCACUUGAAAAAGUGAACAUAAUGACGUAGCACAAUCUCAAAGUACCACAUUAUCAAACUUUUACAUUUUUACAAGUUAAAAUAGACUUAAUUGUCAAAUUUAGGUAUUAAAAUAGACAAAAAAAGUAUAAAUAUCAAAGUGAACCUAAUUACUAAAUUCAGGAGCAAAAAAUUGCAUUAACCUUCAAGGAUUUAUGCAAAAAUUAUACCUUCCAAGAUUUUUGCACUGGUGAAGUAAUCAGGGAAAAAUUUAUGGUACAAAAGUAACCAAAAUGGAAAGGACUUGAGGGACAGAGACUAAGAUACUUAGAAAAUUAUCAAGUAUGUUGGACAUGAAUCUAUGAGUUAUGAAACAUUAAUCAACAACAUAUUCCAUCUUUGCAAAAAGAAGACAACAAAUGGCCAAUUUUGUAGUAAAAAAAGCCAAAUAUUAGAGAGAGGGAGAAAGAGAAUUACCUGGGAAUUAAUAUAGUUCAAUGAUCCUUCGAUAGGAAACUGCAGGAUUCAUUCACCACCAAUGCACAAGAGACAUGGUAAUUCAGUUCAGGACUUUACAGAAUGCUUAAACAAAAACAGCCAAGUGUAUCAAAUUUAGGCCAAGAACAAGAAUCUAAAGUAAAUAUCAUUGUUUCACCUGUGGGUUGGGGACAGCAAGAACUCGAACUGCAUCUCUUUUAAGAGGCACUUCACCCCUGAUUGAUCCCUUAGCAUCACCCUGUCAAUUGGAAUGUUUGCAGUUAAAGGAGACACUGUCAAAGUAUACAAACUACACAAUAUAUAUAUACAUGUAUGCGUAUAUUAGCCAUGAAAAAGAGAGUGUAAUUACCUCCAACUGUGCAUCAUGAUCAUUCCAAUAACAUCAACCCCAAGAAGGUCAAAAAGAAAGAGUCAGAUUAAACACCAGGCAGAUAUGAAAAUGUCAAGAAUAAAAAAAAAAUUCUCUUCUAUUCAAUCUUCUAGCCUAACAGGUUCUAUGCUAUGAAAUAUCAAAAAAAUGGAUCAAAAGUUAAAGCUCCAUUUACAUACCUCUCUGUACCUGGCCAGAUAUAUUUUAAGUGGCUCAAUAUAGUCUUCAAAGCCUAAUGUUGCCAUUGCCCACAACAAAUCAUCUCCAUUAAUUGUCUUCCUCUUCUCUUUCUGGCAUUUAUCACUAGCCCUGCAAAACAAACAGACCAAACCAUUUUCACAAAGGCUAAACCUGAAUCCCAAUAAAAAGCAAUCAUAAUUAAUAAUAAUGAAUAACCAUUUGCUUUGAAAACAUCAACAAGCAAACCUAUAGAGAAAAGAAAAGGGAUCAUUAAACACUAUGCUUCUCGUGUAAACUAUAAACCUUACCCCACUCAAAUAUCAUUGAAAAUGUGAAUUAAAAAACACUAGGUCCCAACUUUCCUAUCUAAAAGUGCAUGCCACAUAAGCCAAACAACCUUCACCAUUCAAAAGUUUAAAACGCCAGUCAAACUUCCAGCUUUUGUGAACACCAGAAAAUCAGAAGAUGUCAGAAAAUAAAGCCAAAGGUCUUAUAAUCACAUCUCCAAUGUCAGGAAACACCAAAAAUAACCAAAUUUACAAUUCAUAGAAAUAAGCACAAAUGUGAAACAGUAUAUGGCUAACAAAUGUACAGUUCAUAAUGAAAAGUGAGUGGCUCACAAAAACACCAUAAUGUACACUAGGACCCUAUGUUUCAUAAACACACUAAAAUCACAUCCUAAAAAAAAGUAAACCUUUACCGAAGUAAAACAAAUUAUAGUCAAGCCACUUCCAACUUAAUGCUGGAAUUCAAAACACAAAUCAAAUCUCUCAAGAAUCUUUACCACUCCAUAAUUAAAAAAAAAUACCAGGUAAAGCUUACAUCUUUCCAAAGGAUAUCACAACUAUAAAAAGUAAGAAACCAAGAAAAGAAAAAGUUCCCAGAAAUAUUAAUAAAACCCCAGAUUAAGGAAUUUACAUACUCGCUAGUGAUGAAGCUGAUGAACUCAGAAACACAUUCUUGAACAGUUUCUUUAGCAUCCUUAGCAAUUUUGCCAUUAGUAGGCAAUGCUCUCUUCAUGAUUCUGCUUAUAUUGGCAAUUGGAAGGUAACGGUCUUGUUCCCUCACAGUUGAGUGAGAACUGCACUGCUCUCCACUCUCAUGACUCCCUCCUGCUGGACUCGUUGGCCCCCUUGCCAUACCAUCCGCCAUGUCCUUGAAUGACCUUAGAUCACUGGGAAAAUGAAAAUGAAACAUAUUAGUAUCCAUCAAUUUUUUAUAAAAGUUUUAGCAAGUAAAGUGAAACCAAAUGCAUAUUUAUAUAUAUAUAUAACAUAACCAAAAUGCAACUAUCCAUCAGUUCACACACCAUCCAUACAAAAACCUCAAAUAAAAAAAAUUCUUUGUACUAAAUUAUUCUUUUAACAAAGAGAAACCCAGAUACCCAUAUGUAAAAAUAGGCUACAUACAUACCAUACCAUACCAUACCAUACCAUAUAUACAUAAAAAAAUAAACUUACGCACUGAGAGAACAAAGAAGAAGAUACUAGACUUAAACAAAGAAAUAAAGUAGAGAAAUGUUAUUUUUAUUUUAUUUUGGCGCGAGAGGAAGGGAUUGGAGGAGAUAUACUAAUGAAGGAAAGAGUAUCUGACGAUGGAGAAGAAAAGGGAACAAAUGAAGAUUGGGACUAUUCUUUUUUUAUUUUUUGCUUUAUAUGAUUUAGUAUAAAAACUUUCGUUUUGGGUUUUAUCAAAACCGUUGGCUUUUUCUUUUAAAAAUGAAAACUUUUUGAUGGUUUCUCAAUGAAAAGAAUGAAGUUCUCAUCUUUAUAGUAUCAGUAUUUCUGUAUCAACUCAAACACACCCACGUUCUUGGGCUGUUUAUGCUUCCUUUAUUUUGUUAACCCAUCAAAUCAGACUUUUUUCUUUUCUUUUUCCUUUUUAAUGAUAUUACCAUUCCCUUAUUAAAAUCAAGUUCUUUUCAUGUAUAAAUAAAUUAUAAAAAUACCAAAAUAUCACAAAAAGUUAAAAGUAUCAUUUUUCCCUCUAAAUUUAUAUAAAAAAAAUCAUUUUUGACAUUAAUUUAAUUUAAUUUUUUUGUAGCCUUUUUAACUUGUAUUUUUUUAUCAAAUCAAUUAAAAAUAAAUGGAAAAGUUAACAUUUGUUAACUUUUUGACGUCACACAUGGAUUGGCACAUAAAUGACAUGUAAGCAUUUAAUUAUUUUUUAAAAUUUUAAAAAAUAUUUUAAAAAUAAAUUUAAUGAUUUUUAAUUUUUUAAAAAAUGUUUUUUAAAAUUUUUGAAUUUUAAAAAAGUAAUUAAAUGUUAACAUGUCAUCUACGUGGCAAUUCACAUGUAUGCAAUAUCAACAAAGUUACAAAAUAUUAAUUUUUCCAUUCAUUUUGUGGUGAUUUGACAAAAAAGAGUAAGUUUAAGGCUAAUAAAGAUGAAAAAUUAAAUAGACGACUAAAAUAACUUUUUUGUAAAGUUGAAUAACCAAAUUAGUUAUUAUUACUUAAACAUUUUCAUCUAAGAAUUAACUAUCCACCGAAAACCUAGCUACUAAAAUAUAUACUCAAAUGAAUAUUAUAGAUAAAAGUACCAUUGAGCCCCUGUACUAAGAUGUGGAUUGUAUUUUGCCCCUCUGUUAAAAAAAUGAGCAGAUUAAUUCAUAUACUUUAAAUAAAAAACCAAACUAAUCCUCUAUUAAAAUUUCUAUUCAUUUCUAUUUCUAAGUGAUGACAUGACUAACGGGUCAACUAAAUAUUGAUACGUUGUGUGCCAUGUAUAUCUCAUAUUGAUGUGGUACAUUUUUCUCACAUCAAAAAAUAUUUAAAAAUAAAAAAAUUUUAAUAAUUAUUUAAAAUUCACAUCCAAGAUGAACCUAGACAAAUGGUUGUCCAAGUUCAUCCUAGACGUGAUUUUUUAAAUAUAAUAAAAACAUUAUAGUGAAUUAUUUUAAAUCUAUUAAAAUUUAUAAGUAAUUAUAUUUUUUUUGAAAUUAUUUAAAAAUUAUUAAAAACAACAUACAAAAUGAACUAGGACAUAUGGAUGUCCAAGUUCAAAUGAGCUUAGGCAACUAUUUGUCAAUAUUCAUUUUAGAGUUGUUUCUUAAAUAAUUAUUAAAUCAUUAUAGGAAAUUAUUUAAAAGAUAUUAAGAAUUAUAAGAAAUUAACAAAAUAGUACUCACUAGCUUGAUUAACUAAAAUAUCAACUUGAUUAAGAAGAUACAUGUGAGUCUAUGGGUAUAUUUGAAUUCUUUAAACAUGCUAAAUGUGUAUAUAUAUUUUUAUAUAUUUUUUAAAAAAUUAAAAUUUUAAUCAUUAUUUAUAAUUUCUUACAACUCUUAAUGGUUUUUAAAUAAUUUUAUAAUUAUUUAAGAAACCACCCUUGAAUGAUCCUUGACAAUUGAAGUUCAUUCGAGUUUAGACAAUCAUUUGCCCAUGAUCAUUCUGGAUGUUAUUUUUAAUUUUUUAUUAAUAUUUAAUAAUUUUAAAAUUUUUAAUUCUUAAUAAAUUUUAAAUAAUUAUCUUUGAUAUUUGAUAGUAGAAAUGAAAAGAAUUUUUAAUAGAAGGACCAAUUUACUUUUUGAUAUAUGUAGAGGGGCUAAUAUGCCCAUUUUUUUAGUGGAGGGAGUAAAAUGCAACCUGAGUCCUAAUACAUCCUUUAGUUCCAGGUAACUUAUAUACCAAAAAAAAAAAUUUUAAAAAGCCAAAUCAUCACUUAACCGCACAUAAGGAUGAAAUUUUUAAUGGAAGGGCCAAUUUGUAUUUUUUUUUCUAAUGUAUAGGGGCUAGUUUGCCAUUUUCUUAGUUGAGGGAGCAAAAUGCAACCCGUCUUCUAGUACAAAGGCCUCUAUGAUACUUUUAUCGAAAAUUGUCACAUCAAUAAGUUAUUAGUUGAGCUUAUAGCAUUUCACCUCAUUAAAGCACGAAUAUAAGUUUGAACCUUGGAACACACAUCUAUUGAAAAAGUGUUAGUUUUUAAAUGCUCUUUGCCAUAUAGGGAUUAACUAGACGUGGAAAAUAAUGAUGUAGGUUCAAGUCCACUAAAGCGCAUUAUCCUCUUGUUUAUGGGUUGGGGAGGCGCUAACAUUGUGUCCAAUGACCUUGUCAUAAGUGUAUUUCCCUCAUAGGAUAUCCUUAUCUCUUUGGGAUAAAUCUGCUCUUUCAAUAUGAUCUUAUUUUAUCACAUGAUAACCAUUAUAUCUUCCUUCAUGAAAAUUUAAUUACUAUCAAAUAACAAUCAAGUCAUUCAUCACAAAGACGAACAACUCAUGACCAUGUUUACUUUUCAUCUACCAUGUACUGCCAAUGAGAAGAUAUCAUUUACCCAUAUCUCGGGCUAUAAAUUCCACUAUUUUGAAUUACUAUACAUACUGACAAAGAUACUCAAUGCACUAGCUUUCAAUUCUUUAUUUAUUUGAACUCAGGUUUUUACAUACAUCAAAGUAUACGAGUCACGCGUAUAUAGUCUGUCAUCAACUCAAGAUUAAGGUAUGCCGUACUUUGAAUGUUACAAGUGAAUAAAUCCAUAAAUGGAUUCAGGAUCUAUUCUUUUUGGGUCCAAUCUGAUGUACUGCCAAUCAAGCCAGUCACAUUGAUAUCUCUAUCUUCUAGGAGUCAUCCACUCCGAUGUCUAAGACAAGGCAUCUCUCCAAUUGGACUUGAUAGACUACAUAUUAGACUUUCAAGUGGUUUGUUCAUCUCUGGUUAGACUAAAUACAUGUUUAGAUUCAUCUACUAAUACAAGCUAUCCUUUCGUAUUAUGAUUCGACUACGUAAUACCGCUUAAUAUUAGUUUAAAUAUUAGACAAUCAAUGAGUCAAUAUUUGCUUCUAUUUUUCUUUACAUGCAAAAACUACGUGAGAACAAUAUAAAAAUGAUAUUAAUGUAAUUUAUGAAUUUUAUUAAUUACUAAUCUAUUUGAAAAAAUUACAAUACGCAAAAACUUGUCGGGAGUCACGAUUUGCUUAGCUUGGAACUUCCACAAUUUGGGUAACCCACAAGUAGAGUUAGCUCUAAAGGAGUUGGUUCGUACUAAUAAGCCUAAUUUUUUAUUUCUUAUUGAAACGCUUGUUCAUUCUACUAGGAUUGAAGAGUUACGUGUUGCUUUGAAGUAUGAUUGUUACUUUUGUGUGGAUAGAGUAAGCAGUAAAGGUGGUCUGGUGAUGAUAUGGAAUUCAGACGAAAAGGCGAAUGUGAUAGGUUAUUCCAAAAAUCAAAUUGAUAUGGUGGUGGAAGGGGUUGAGUGGAGAUUAACAGGCGUAUAAGGUUUCUAGAAUCAGUUUGGUGGCGUGCAUUUUGAGAUUUCUUGAGAUAUCUUUCUUCUCUUAAUGAUUUGCCUUGGGUUUGUAUUGGGGUCUUUAACAAUCUAUUGUCUAGUGAUGAUAAAUGGGAUGGUUCUGAUUAUUAUUCUGUAUGGUUUAAGGAUUUUCGACAAUGUAUUAUGUACUGUAAGCUUUUUGAGGUACCUUUUAUGGACUUUAAUUACAUUUAAGAACAAGGAAGAGGUACGACCUCAUCAGUUUUUUUUUUUAGAAUGUCUUGAUUACGUUUUAGAGGUACGACCUCAGUUUGUUUUUUAGAAUGUCUUGAUUGCGUUUUCAUUAAUUGGAAGUGAUCUUUUCUUUUUCUGUAUUACAAACUUUAUAACUAGGUGAGUGCCACGUUGCAACAUAACUCGAUUAAGUUGGUAUCUAAUACCUCUUUUUCCAUAAAGAGAAAAGUUCGAUUUUGGCUUGAAAAUAAAUAGUUGGCUGAAGAAGGGUUUAGGAUUUUGUUGAUGCUCGUUGGUUAGGCUGCGCGUAGGUAAAUAUUACUAAUAAGCUAAAUUUUUUGUAUGGCUAAAUUGUUAGAUUGACAUAAAUUAAGGAGUAGGUUGCAAUUAUGAUGUAAAAAUUCGGUUGCUGAAAUGGCAAAUCGAGGCUACCGUGUAUAGUUGUGUAAUGAUGGGAAUUUGGCCUUUUUAAAAUCUGAGCUUAAUUCUCUACUUUCGCAACAAUCGGUCUAUUGGUGUCAACGGUCAAAAUUGUUAUGGUUGAAGCAUGGAGAGGCGAAUACCAAAUAUUUCCAUGCUAAGGCUUCUAAACAUAGAAUAAAUAAUUAUAUUGCUAUGCUUGUGGAUAGCUAGAGGAAUAAGUAUACAAAUAAAAAGGAGAUGUGCGCCAUUGUUCUUAAAAUUUUACUCAGCUAAAUGUUGCAUCUAAUACCUCAAAUCUUGAUGCUUUUUCUGAUCUAUAGCCUUGUAUUAGGACACAUGAUAAUGACAAUUUAAUUGCUCCGUUCCAUAAUGAAUUCGGUUUUUUACCAGAGAUGCUGGUCAAUUAUUGGUAAUGAAUUAAGUGUUGUUCUUGGUUAUAGAUGGGUGAGUUCUCUACUUCUAUUAAUAAUUCUUUAAUAGUUUUUAUUCCAAAUAUUACUAAUUUGAGUAAUAUGAAGGAUCUAAGGCCUAUUGUUUUGUGUAAUGCCUUGUAUAAGAUUUUGGCAAAGGUUCUUGCAAAUAGGUUAAAGAGUUUGCUUUCUUGGGUUAUCUCGCCAAUGUAGUUGGCAUUUAUUCCGGGUUGAUUAAUCAUUGAUAAUAUUCCAGAUUUAUUUCGGGAUGCAGAUGGGUUCAUGUUAAGUUGCAGUAUUGGAUAUAGAGUUGGGUGUUUAGCUUCCUAUCUAGUGGAAGUGCUGGUAACUAGGGGGCUCUAUUGUGGUUACAAUAGUUGAACUAUGAUAGAGUGAUGAUUGAUUUGGAUAAUGCGAAGGUAAUUAAGGUCAGGGUUGAGAACAUUAAUGAUAAUUCAAAAUUUGGUCUAUUGGUUGGGGAUUGUCAUGCGUUAAAAGUAUCAUUUUCAGUUUAUAUCAUUUCAUUGGAUUAGUUGAUCGGCUAAUAGAGCGACCCAUACAUUGGCAAGGGUAGCUUUAGGUUUUGCAUAUUAUAACUAUUCAGAUUUUGUUCCUAAGUGCAUUUCUAGUAUUUUAGUUUCAAAUGUUGUUGUUGGUAUAACUAAUGAGAGUUUAGAGCAUAGGAUCGAGUGUGUGGGGUAAGGCUAUUGGCUUAAGUAUUAGUUUGGUCCUUUUGUUGGUAAUCCAUCUAUUCUUUCGAUGGUUUAAUAAUCAUUUCAUUUCUUAAAAAAAAAGAGUUUAUUUAACCUAUACAAAAUGUAAUUACUAACAAAUUUAAUACUUUAUGAUACGCUAAUGAAUACUCAACCAAUUGAACCACUUUCAAUAAAUUAUUAGUUUAGUAACAAAUGACUUAUAAAAAGUAGUUCAUAGAUUGAUAUCAAUGUUAAAAGACUUCAAAUCCUAAGAAACAUAUUCCCUCUUAAAUUUGAAUAUGCCAAAAACCAAACUAACACGUGUUGAUAUGGUAAUUCAAAGUGUUAAUAUCCUAAAAAAAAGAUUAAAUUAGUAUGGUUUGUUUAUAUAAGCCCUUAUAUAUAACUACAUAAGUACUAAUUAUGUGAUUUUUUUUUCAUUAGCACUCUUAAUGAGAUAUAUAUUCAUAUGAAUAUCUUGUAAGAAUCUUCCACUUAUUUUCAAAUCCUCGAAGAACACUUGUUCUUCACCUUUACUUGUGGCAAUAUAUUAUGGUUUUACUCACCAAAUACCAAUUAUUAGUUUGUUUUUAUAGAAUAUUAUUAUUUAACCAUUACUUGAGGAAUAAAAGUUGUUAAAAUGAAAGGGCAAAAAAUCGAACUUGGAAAGAAUUCAUCCAAACCGAUAAGUUAAGCUAAGAGAAAAUUUCUAUAUCAUCCAUUGUCGCUAAGUAAAAGGUCUUUAGAUUUUUACAAAUUGAAAAAGCACCAGUCGAUUUGCUCUCUGUCCCAACUUAAUGUCCCAACCGAUGUUUGAACACAAGUUUGAACAAGACUCCGUAAAAAAGGUAGUAAGCAAGUUCGAAGAGAUGCUAAUGUUAUAGCAGUUUCGUUGGAGAUGUCGGGGUGUGUUCGAUUUCAAAUGUUUUUAUGCAGAUUGAUGAUUGAUAACUAUGGCUGAAGGAUUAAUAUUGGGAUGGCAGAGCAUCGCUGAGUUCACUAAGAUGAUGGUUUCAUCAAAGAAGAUUCACUGAAUCAUUUGGAGUGGUUCUUGGAUUGUCAAGUUGCAGUAUUAUGUGCCUAUUUGAAUGUCAGUGUUGUUGUUUUAGGUGUGAUGUAGUUGUAUUUUGGGUUUUUCUCAAGUUAGGUGGUAGUAUAUCCAGGUGUGCUUCUAGCUAUAAAUUGGAAAAGAUUUAAAUCUACCCCUUUGGGUUUAUUAAAUUAUUAAUAAUAACUUCUCUGACUGAGCAAAAAAGAAAGUAGUAAGCAAGUAAGAGAAAGAUAACAAGAAGCAAGCAAUCUCUAUUAACACGGUUUGGAUCAACAAUCCUAUGUUUACGAAGCCUCACUGAAUAGUUUUGUUCAAUAAUUGUCUGGAUUACCUAUUGGAUAAAUUCUAAUCUACUCUCACAACAAUGGUAAUUACAACACUAAUAAUGAACCCAAUUGGUACAAUCACUGACCCCAAUCAACCUCACUUACAACAAGGUUUACUUUGCAAUAAAUGCCUAACACAAGAGGGUAAAAAUUAUCAAGUAAAGAUAAACAAAUAACCAUAAAAAAGGACUCCUCCAAGCACACCCAAAUGGUCAGCAAUGCAACCUAUUUAUAAGUUGAUACAAGAGCCCUUUAACAACUUUUUGAUAAGCUUAAAACUCUUAGUUAAAAUUUAAAUGUUCUCUUAAUUAUCUCCAAUAAUUAUUCCAUAAAUUCCUUUAUAUCCAGCAAAUCAAAAUUAGCUUAGCUUCCAGGUAAGAUAAGGAUAAGGAUAAUGUUUGCAUUCAAUUGACCACUCCUCCUCCUAUUCAAAACAAAAUCCAUCAUCCAAGUAAGAAUAAUUUACUAACUUAGUCUAAGAAUAAUUUGAUGAUAGAAAACUACCAAGAUUAACCAAGUAAAAAAUGCUAACAAACUCAUUGCACUUACGUUGUCUUGAAUAGACGUCCAGACUAUUGUCCCAAUAGCCUGUCCAAAGAGAUGUUAGAGCAAGGAACAGGAACAAAGUGUUCCAAUAGGCAAUCCAAAAGAAAUGUUCAAACAAUGAAUAUAGCUUCAGUGUUUUAGACAACUAAGGUCUCAACACAAAUCUUAUUAAAGUUAAGGUAAUUAUUUUAUACAUGGUCAAUAAAACAAAAAAAAUUCAAAAGCAAAUUCAAGAUGUUGUUGUAGCACCCCAAACUCGGCCUAGACGUUAUGGCCAAAGCUGGUGAUGUCACAUGGAAUGGCGUUUGAAAUUGAAAUUUACAAGUAAAAACCGUUCCAGUUAAUUAGUUUUUAUUUCAUUCAGAAAAACGUGAACUAGCUGAUUUGCCUUAAAACAUGUCUUUUAAGCAGAAGCUUUUGAAACCAAUUAUUUUACGAAACUGAAAAUCUUAGUUUUUAGUAAAAUCGUGUUUUGUUGAGUUGCAAAAAAAACCAUAAAAAUAGUAUAAAAUCCCAGAUUCAAACCAAACGGUCCCAAGUCCCAACAUUACAAUAAUAAAUACCCAAGAAUAAUAUAAAAACAAAAGCUAUAGUAAAGCAGUUUAAUAGUGGGGGUAACUGUCGAGCCCUCCGCGUGCCGAUCCGCCUAAGUCUGGGGAUUACCUGUACAGAUUAAACGAAAAAAGGGAUGAGUUUUCGCAAACUUAGUGUGUAAUCCCUAUAGAAAACAUACAUGCAGAUACACAUCAGGAAAUAAUCAAUUGCAGUCUGGGGCCUGAGCCCAUUAUAGAUUCAAUUUGGGCCUUGGCCCAUUCGGUAUAGUCUCAGAUAUAAUUUAGGGCCUUGGCCUAUCUCAGAUACAAUAUGUAAUAGCAGGAAAUCAGAAUCCUACCCAUCAGCCUUUACACACCAUCUUCGUCCAUCCUUACACACCAUGUGGGGAUUAAUCAACCCACACAAUCCCUACGCACCAUGCUGUAUCGAAAUGCGGCAUAUAAUCAGAAAUUUGCAGCAGAACUGCCAAAUAACUGACUUAAUAGCCUUUCAGACACUUCCUCCAAAUAACAGUAACUCACCUCGAUGCAACGCAACAUACAAAAGAUGUCAUGCUAUUUAUGCAGUUGUAGUUCAUACAUUCAGAUAUCAUAAUUCAUGCUCGGUACAAAAAUUAAACAAACAGAUCACUCAUAUAGGGGUCUAAGUAGGGCUUAUCGACCCUUCAGUAGAUCCACAGUCAACUUAGGCGACUCGUGCAACCUUAGACAACUUUUCAGAGAAAUGGGUUCACACACCUAUGUGGCCUGCCCGUGUGGCCCACUCGGCCCAAAUUGGCCUGAGCUGCUUAACCUAUUUUUAAUGUAACCCAUGCUAGCUAAAUAUUCAUAUAUGUUUUCACUAUUUGCUAAUAUGUUCCUUUAAAGCUGUCUACUUGAGUCAUUGUUACUAAAUUAUUUAUAUCUUGAGCUACAGAAUCCUAAAUUAAGAUCUGCUUGAUGUUUUUGAAACUAGACUCAAAUACCUUUCUACAUAAAAUUUUCAGAAUUUAUAGUUCAUCAAAUAAGUAAAGUAAAACCUUCAAAUUUAUCCUGAUUCUGCUAUUUAACAGCUUUAACCUUUCCUUACUAAAAAUUAUUUAUCUCUUAGUAUGGAAUUUGGAUAAUGUUUCCAUUUGUUUCUCUUAAAAAUAGACUCAUUAAGGAUUUAAACAUGUAAAUUUAAGCCCCUAAUUAUUUUUUACAAUUUUUGAUGAUUUUCCAAAGUUAGAAUAGGGGAACCCGAAACCAUUCUGACCUUAUCUCAUAAAAUUCAUUAUAUCUCAUAACUUACAAUUCCAUUGCUUACACUGUUUCUUCCAUGAAAAACUAGACUCAAUAAACUUUAAUUUUAUAUUUUAUUCAACCUCUAACUCAACUUUCACUAUUUUUGAUGAUUUUUCAAAUUUAGACUAUUGCUGUUGUCCAAACUAUUUUAGUGCAGAAUGUUGAUUUCUAAGUUUAUAACACCCUUAUUUCCUUUCUCUACAAUUUUUCGCAUCAUUUUCUCUUAUUUCUUGACGGCAAGAAUUUUGACUUUUCGUCGAAUCCCAUUUUCUGUGUUUCGGGUAUACACCUGUAUCAUUUUUGCUGCUUCCGUAAUUCUGAGAUCACCAAAAACCUAUAAUCGACAAUCCCAACUUUAGAAUCGGUCUGUAUUCACGUACCAAAAGGUCUAAGCUUGUCCGCUCAUCACUACCUUCUAACUUCGCACAACUCCACCACUACUCAACACGAGGGAGAUAGCAACCGAAACGAUUCGCUGCUGUAAAAAUAAUCAUUCCUCAUUAAUGAAGAGUUCAACAAAGUUAAGAACGAAUUCAAAGCCAAAACCACUCGCCCAAACAACACAAGAAAACCCAUACCUUAUACGCUACCAAACGAUCACCGCUUCGAGUCAAAUCGACGGACGAUAAUUCCAGCCUCACGAUCGGUUUUUAAACAGUCAACAAAACAGCCCUUAAUCCCUUAUCCAUAGUAACAUUCGAGUUUAAUAAAACGAAAACUUACCAUACAACACAAUUGCACGCUUGCACAAAGGGGAAAAGAUGAAGAAAGGCAACGAAAAUAGAAGGGGAAUUCAAAGGAAAUUCGGCAGCAAUGAUUUAUUAUUUAGAAAAAAAAAAGGAAAAGCGAAAAUUGAGAGUGGGGGAGAAGAGAGAAAACAUCAAAAAGGUGGAAAAGAGUCCGAAAUUUGAAAAAAAAAAUAAAAAGAUAAUGUCCAAAAAUCUUAAUUCUCUCCCUAACCUCCCACAACAACUCCACUACUCGAAAUUUCAAUUUGACUAGGACUCCUCCAUGCCACACGGCCAAGCAACAAAAAUAAUUCUCUUGCUUGCGCGCAAAGACUUGAAUUCUAGACCUCCCACUCACUAACAUACACCUUAGCCACCAAACCAACAGACCCAUUCUAAUAUAUUUUUACCAACUUUUAACUAUAAGCCUACUUACCAAAGAUAGGGUUUUAUUCAUAAAAAUACCAAAAUUUGCCCCAGUCAAGGCUUAAACUUGAAACCUCAUACACACACUCAGAACACUUAACCACUGAAGCAAACAUAUAUUUAUGUCAUAUUUUUACAAAACAUAAAUAUACAUUUUUGUGGCAUUACAUUUGUAAUAUAAUGAAAAUAAAAAAAAAUGAGCAAAGAAAAAAUCAACAUCUUAAAAUCAUUUGUGGAGUUUUUUUUUAUUCUACUAAUAGUGUUUAUAAUAAUUAUCACAUGUGAUUGUAGUUAUUUUUCUUAUGUAUAAAAAUAAAGUAAUAUUGUCAAAAAAUAGUGUAUUAAUUAAUUUUAAAAAAAACUUUAAAACCCUCAUUAGUAGUCAAUUAGACAUUGGUUAAAAUAGAAAAGUUAGUACUAAAAUUUUAAGUGUCUAAGUUCAAAACCCACUUACAUAAAUCAUGUGUGAGCGAGUUAAUUUCAAUUGAAUUAAUUAUUUAGCUUAGUAACUUUAAAAAAAAACUUGAGAAAUAUACACCAAAAAGAAUGAGAAAACCCAUAAUUCACUAAAGUUUGUUGCCUUUUUACAUCAACUGAUUCAUAAUCCAUAUUUGGUUUUUGGUAAUAAAAAAAAACACUAAAAAUGGCUUUAAUUAUUGAAAGGGAAAAAUAUGAGAUAAAGACUUAGUUGAGGCAAAUGAAAAUGAUGCCAUAGUUUAAACCAAACCUAAACCAUGAAUAGGUUAAAUUAUGUACCUAGUUCAACAUGUUUUUUUUUUUAAAGAUUAGUCUUUCACAAAAGAUUAAAUCCAUCUUAAGACUGAGUUUUUAAAUCCCCAUCUAAUGUUUAUUUAUUGAUGCAUAAAAUAAUAAUGGUAUUAUGAUUAGAAUAUAUAUAUUUUUUUUGGUAAUGUAUAAUGAGAGAGUUAGUAUUCUUACCCACCCAUAGUAGGGAUAUACACACAUCACACAUGCACAUAUGGUAGGGACAUACCUACAUCACAUACACACACUGUUUAUAAAAGGAACUACUCAAAUAGAGACCCAGCACUUGUUCCCCUGGAGGUUUGAACUCAGACUAUAAUGACUCGAUUUCUAGUGGUGUCAGAAAAUAUGAUUUCACGACUCCGUUUUCUUAAAUCGAAUCUAUAAUUAUUAAAUAGGGAUAUUUACAGAGUUAAUAUUUAAAUAAAUUGAAAUUUGGAUAGUUAAUUUAGCUAAAAUUAUAUUUAAUUAAGGCCUAAUGACUAAAUUGUAAAGUCCAGUUGCUAUAGAUUUUUAAUUGGUAAAUAGCUUGAGGACUUAAAUUGCAAUUAUCCAAAGGGCCGAAAAGGUUAACAAACCAUUACUAAUCAUGUGCUAGUGGAUGUUAAUGAUGAUUGUGAUUAAUGUAAGUAAAAUAAGGUUAAUUAAGAAUAAAAUCUAAUUAAUUAAACUAAUUAAAAUCUAAUCUAUACAUGUGUGUGUGUGAAUUAGUGGAAAGGGAGAAGAAGAAUCAUUUCUCCACCAACCUAACAUCGAAAUAUAGAAGGGGAUGCCAUUGUUGAUUUCUUUAAGCUUUUGGCCUUAUUUUCAAGUAAGUCUCUAAGAAUUUUUCUUUGAUUUUUAUAGAGUUUUUUAAUCUUGGAAGCUUGAUCAAGCUAACCCAAGGAUCAAUUUGAUCAAUUAGUAAAAUUUUUAUGAGAUUCCAUUGCUGAUAAUUGAAUGUUCUGGGUGUUAAAUCAAUAGAAAUUAAAUUAAUUAAGAAAAUGACUAAAUUGUAAAGUUUAAUUGUUAGUUUCUUACAUUAGGGACCAAACUGAAUAAAAUGAAAAUUUUUUCAUGAAUUAUUGGUAAGGAUGGAAAAUAGAGGGUCCCUAAUAAGUUUUGGUGAAAUCGGAUUUUAAUCUGAGGCUUUAAAUUGAAAGUUAUGCUAGCCCUGAUUUUAGGGACUAAAUUGAAAAAUAUGUGUGAUUUUAUAAUUAAAUGUAAUUUGAUAAAAAAAACUUGAUAUUUUAUAUUUUCGAAUUAUUAUUUAUAGCUAAAGACAACGCAAGGACGUCAAGAGGAAAAGAAAAGAUGAGAGCCGACGACGAGUAAUUCGAAUUUUCGGUUUGUAUUUCUAUUGUUCGAAUUAUUUUAAUUAUUGCAUAUUUAUACUGUUUGCAUGACAUGAUAUUGAGGUAAGUUGAAAAUGGUUAAUUGAAUUGCAUUGGUAUUAUUGUGAUUGACUAUCGAGAUAGAAGACUAAAUUGAAUAGAAUUGAAAAUAAUGCAACUUGAUGAAAUUAUGAAAUUGGCUUUGAAUUGGAUUGAAUCAAACUAUGUUAUGUAAUGUUAUGUAAUGAAAUGAUGAAAUGUAAUUCGAAUUAUAUAAUGGAAGCGGAAAAUUUGGUUACCCUAUUAACUGUUCGGGUAGAAUUGGAUAAAGUUGGCAUGCCAUAGGAUAGAUUGAGUACGAGAUACUUCGACUACUUGUCGAUGAGUACUGGUACAACUUUUAUUUCGGUUAUACCGAUGAGCGCUAGGCGCAAUCUAUUUACUUCAGACUUUCUGAUGAGACCCUAGGUGCCAAAUUUGGUGUGUUGAUUGGUAUUCGUGUAUCUGUUCGAGUCUGAGUCAUAUUAAUAUGGGAUAUAAUGUAUUAAUUGAUUGAGGUAGGCUCUAAUUGGGUUCUGCUCAACUAAUGCUAGCUAACUGGUAACUAAAUCUAAAUUGAAUUGGUCUGGCUCAAAUUGGUUCAGAUUUAAAGUAAAACUUUGAUAAUUCAAGUAGGGUUUUUUUUCUUAUUCUCAUACUCAAGUUGGUUUUACCUAUAUAAAUUAAUAUUCAAUUAUUUUUUUAUUAAAAAUUAUUUGUGAAGAUAAGGGGUAAUAUAAAUUAGUUUAAUAUUUUAGAUAUAUUUUAAAAAAUAAAAUAUUUUUCAAUUAAACAAAUCAGAGUUUAGAGAAAUAAAAUGUAUUAAAUUUAAAUAUUUAUUCAGUACCUAAACUUAGCAUACUCUUUCAAUUUAGCAUUUAUAAGUUUUCCUUUUUUUACCUCAACUAGGUAAUUUAUGUAAUCUCGUGAUGUUGCAUUCUAUGAUUGUAAUCGUCACCUAAAAAUAAUAUAUAUUACUUUUUUAAAAAAUAAAAAUAUAUAAAAUUUUAAACUUUUUAAUAAUUUUAUAAUUUUUUAGAAUUGUAAUAAUUAUUUUAUAUUUUUUUAUAAUCCUUUGAUAAUUUAUAUAAUAGUUUGAACCACAUCCAGAAUGAAUUUUGAUAAAUGCAUCAUUAAAUUCAAAUGAAUUUAGAUCCUAAUUUGUUUAGGUUUAUUGAUGUAAGUUUUUAGGAUUUUUUUAAUUACUUUUUUAAUUUAUUUUAUUUUUUUAAAUAUAUGUUGACAUGGUAUGACAUUUGUUAUGUCACAUGUUAGUUUUCAUCUGUCACAUUAUCAUUCAUUAGUGAUUAAAUUGAUCAACAACGGUUUUGUCUAAUUUUUUUUACUAAAGUUGAAGAGAAUUUUUUAAGAGUUUAAUUGAUUUUUAUUUUAUUAAUAGCUUUUUUGAUCAUUAAGACAAAAAGUACCGUGAUGAUGACAAAUAUCACUUAUAGACAUAUAGCUGAAAAGUUAAUGAAAUUACUAGCGAAAAGACUUGAUUGAAACAAUGUGAUAUUUUAGGGACUUAAUUAGAUUUAGAAAUUAAUUUAGAAUUUAACCCAUAGUUUAGUGAAAUUAACUUUUAAUUUAUAAAAUUCUCCAUUUCUGACCAAAAAAAAACCAUUAAUUACUUAGAGAGCAGGUCAUGAUCGUAUUCUGUGAAAGGCCAGCAAGUAAAAGAAACAACAGUACAAAUGCAUGCUUUUGUGGUGAAUCUGAAAAGCCUAUUUCUCAGUACUGGCAUUGUGCCCUUCUAUUGUAGUGUGUUUGAAGUUGCAUGUUAAUCUCCCAAUUGUUAGUACAAAUCUUCGGUGAGAAAAAUCUCGAACACACGAACGGAACUCGAACAGAAGAAGAAAUAGGACAACGCUCCAAGGCGUGUAUCAAGCCAUUAUCUUUAAGGUUAUAUUCGCCCUCACCUAUCUUCGGUGUGCAAACAAGUUCCAAGCAAAUUAACCUCGAGGAUACAAUGAAGCCAAUAACUAUUUACGUUUUGCACUGACGAGAAUAGCCCACAACACACUGAGCAAUUGUAUGACAAGAAACUAUAUUUCUAUAAAGGAUUUCUACAGUAAUACUUAUAGAAUAAUAUAAUAAUAUUAAAAAACAAAGAAAGGAAAGAAAGAAUAUUAGAAUUUGAUGGUAUGAUUUCCAAAUGAAAUCUCAUUCCUAUUUAUAGGAAUUUUCAUGUCUCUUCAUAGAGACAUCUUUCAUCAAUAGGUGUUUUUCUGAAUAAUAAUGUCUUUAAAAUAAACACAUAAUUAUUCAUUUAAUUAUAACUAUUCAAAUAAAAUUAUUUAAAUAGUUAUAAUUUUUUUCAAAAAAUCAAACAAUAUAAUCUUUUGAUUAAUUACACCCAUUCAUUUAUAGUUAUUGGAACACUAUAAAUAUUUGAAAAUGUUCCAACAAUCUCCCCCCAUUUUCAAAAUAUUUUAGAUUUUGAUAUUCUUGGAAAUCAGUUUGCAUAAAUGAAAGGUAUCUUACGAUUGAAUUUUCACUUAGUGAAAACAUGUUAAAGUUAAUCGAAAUUGCAUGGUAGGCUAAGCUUUGAACCAACUAUUUCAUUUGAUUAACCGAACACAUCUCACACAAUGAUUUCAACAUCAGUCAAUGCAUAGUAUCUAGGGACACUAUUAUGGCCAUGUGUCUAUGUUCUCUUUUCAUGAGUGCUGUCAGAACCAAGCCCUUGAGCUCCUAGAAGUGGCCAUACUUCCACUCACAUAGGUAGAUCCCAUCAAGAGUGUUCCCGUAAUUAUAACACUCUAACAUUUUUAUGUUAUGAGUCCAUUAAGAGUACAUUACUCAUCAUUCCCUUAUCAUUACGGGUACCUAGCACUUUAAUCUUAGGAUGAAUUUAUUUAUAGUGCUAACAGUCACAUACUAAUUAUGUACUUUGUCUCAUUGAACUCAAGACUUGACGUUAUACCAAGCAUUGAGUCGAGUUUCCAUCAUGGGUGACUCUAAUUAAUGGGCUUGAGUCCCAUCCCUUUUGAGGUCCUUUUUACUGUAUCUCUAGCAAGACUUUUUGUCAAAGGAUCCGCCAAAUUUUCACUUGACCUCACAUAAUUAAUAGUGCUCACUUCAUCAGAAAUUAAUUAUCGGACAUAACUAUGUCUUAAUCCAAUGUGUCUAGACUUUCCAUUAUAUACUUGGCUAUAUGCCUUUGCUAGAGUAGCCUCACUAUCACAACGGAUAGAAAUAGGUGAAAUUGGCUUAGGCAUAAAAGUACAUCAUAAAGCAAAUUUCUUAACCAUUCUUCUUCUUUAGAUGCAGCGGCUAAUGCAAUAAAUUCUGCUGCCAUGGUGGAAUCAGUAAUACAUGUUUGUUUCUUGGAACCCUAAGAAAUGGCUCCUCCACCAAGAACGAAAAUUCAUCCACUAGUAGAUGCAUGAUCUUCCAAACUUGUAAUCCAACUAGCAUCCGAAUACCCUUCUAAAAUUGGAGGAUAUCCAUUAUAACACAAUCCAUAGUUAAUAUUUUUCUUUAAGUACCUAAGUACUUUAUUCAAAACUUGCCAAUGCAAGCUACUUGGAUUACUUGUGUACCUACUCAAUUUUCCAAUAGCGUAUGCAAUAUCUGGUCUUGUACAAGUCAUUAUGUGUAAUAGCCCGAUUUUAGGCUUAGUCGAAACAGUGGUUUCGGGACCACAAAUCCGACGAAAAAAAAAUGUAAUGGCUUGAAUUUUCAGAGGUGUCGAAACGGUGAUUCGGGAUCACUAAAUUCGACAAAUGGGUAGAAAAUAUUAUUAAUUUAGUAAGUAUAAGUUAAAUAUGAGGUUAGGAAAAUUUUUGAAAUAGUGAAUGGUGCACUAGAAAUAAAUAUUAAAAUAAUUAGAAUCGAAAUGAGGUAUCAAGACCUCGGAGAUUUUAAACUGAGCCAUAAAUAUUUUUAUAAAUAUUUAUGGAGUGUUAAAAAGUUAGUAUUAAAGUUUCGUUAAGAAAUUUUAAAGUUCCGAUAAUUAAUUGAACAAAAAGGACUAAAUUGUAACAAAUGCAAAAUUUUGGGAAAUGAUUAAAUAGCUUAAAUGAUAAAAGGAAGAGGGCUUAAAAGGCAAAUAGACCCAAGGUCUAUUUGGGCUGGACGGCAGAGGCAUGAAAUCAGCAAGAAAGUAAGGAGAAUUAAGGGAAAAAUUGGAAAAUUGCAAAAUUUGCUUAAUAAAGUUAGGACCCAAGUGGAAUUAUCUAGAUUUCUCUUCAUAAUUCUGAAUUCUCAUCAGCUAAAAACACCAUGGAAGGGCUUCUUCAAGCUGGUUCUUCACAUUUUUAUUACAAGUAAGUUCAAUUCUUGACUAUUUCUUGAAAUUUUUGUAUUUUUAUGACUUUUACAACUAGGCCCACUUGUUAAAUUCAUUAGUUUUUGAUUUUAUGAAAGAAGUUGAAAGUUGAUAUGAAUGUGUGCUGGAAUUAUAUGAUGAUUUAUCAUGAAAUUAGAGCUUUAAAUUGUUCAUAUGCUGAUUUUAUUGAAAGAAUUGAAUAGAAAGUGAAUGUUUGGGACCUAAUAGUAAAAGAGUUUGAAAAUAGAGUUAUAUGUGGAAAUUCUGGUUUUCAAUAGUUGAGUAACAACUUAUAAUGUCUAGGUAAAGUAUUAAUUGAGAAAAUUAGAUUAAUUGAGGGGUUAAUUGAGAAAGGACCGAAUUGUAUAAACUGUGAAAUUUGGGGAAAAAUGGAAAUCAACAUUUUGAACUAAAGCAGUUUUGGACAGCAGUAGUGUAACUUUGAAAAAUCACCAAAAAUUGUAGAGAUUGAAUUAGAGGAUGAAUAAAAUAUUAAACUAAAGCUUAUUGAGUCUAGUUUCUUAUAAAAGAAAUGAUGUGAGCAAUGGAAUUGUAAAUCAUGAGAUAUAAUAGAUUUUGUGAGACAAGGUCAGAAUGAAUUCGAGUUCCCCUGUUCUGACUUUGGAAAAUCAUUAAAAAUUGUAAAAAAAUGAUUAUGAGUUAUAGUUUAUAUGGUUAGAAUACUUAAUGAGUCUAUUUUUAGAAGAAAUAAGCUAAAACAUCAUCUGAAUUCUGUACAAUGAGAUAAUUAAUUUUUAGUGAAGAGUGGUCGGAACUGUCAGACAGCGAAACAGGGGAAACUUUAAAGAAUAAACUGUACUAUUUGGCUGAACCAAAAAUUAUGAAAAUUUUAUGGUAUGAAGAUAUGUGAGUCUAGUUUCAGGGAAAAUUAACGGAUCUUAAUUUGGAGCUCUGUAGCUCUGGAUAAAAAUAAUUUAGUGACUCUAACUCGGAUAAACAGCUUUGAAUAUACAUGUUAGUGAAUAUUGAAAUUAUGGUUAAUGUUGUUUAAGUGUGUUAUACACAUUAAGGAUGUGGAAUGGAGAGGAGGAGGAGGAAAAUUGGGAAAUAUAUGAAUGAUUCGUGUAUAAAUGGUCAUAUGUUUGAUUAUAACUCAUAAACGAUGAAAUAUGAAUGAUGCUUAUUUUUGUGCAUUAUUGGUCAUGGUUUAAGCUCAUGUGUGAAAAUAAAGUUUCAUAGUAUGUGUGUAUGGUAUAUUCAGUAUAUGAUUUGGCAUGAAAUAAUACCAUGAAUGGUUUAUGAAUUAACACAUGUUGGUAAGCCUGAUAUAUGAAUAAAUGAUCAAAUUGAGCGGAACGCCGGAUUUGAGUACUUCUGAUCAAGUGACAAAGUGAUAAGUGGUAGCUUUAGCUACACUUAUCUGAUCAAGUGACAAGUGGAAAGUGAUAAGUAAUAGCUUCGGCUAUACUUAUCUGAUCAAGAGACAAAGUGAUAAGUGGCUACACUUAUCUGAUCAAGAAACAAAGUGAUAAGUGGCUACACUUAUCUGAUCAAGAAACAAAGUGAUAGGUGGCUACACUUAUCUGAUCAGGGACAAGUGAUAAGUGAUCAUACGUAAGACCAUAGUUAUACUAUGGCAAAGUGAAAGUGAAGUACUCAAUUUUCCGUGACCGUUCCCUAAUUUGAUUAAGGAUGGUAAGUGACAAAUGGGCCCAAAAGAAUUAAAGUAAAUGGAUAAGUGGUAGUGUAUUUAUAUCAGGACGGUGUUGUUAUUCAAACUAAAGUGAUAUUUUCAUUGCUAAAUUGAGAAUUUCAUAAAUGUGUUAUUGAAUGGUAUAAUCAAUAAACAUUGAGUUAAAUGGUAAAUACGUAUUAGUUUUGAAUUUGAUGUCAUUGAAUUGUACGUGAAUUAAAUGGAAAUUGCUAGUGAUAUGAUUUAAGUUAUGAGCAUGAGAAAUUGCGAAUUGAAUGAAAUAGAAAUGAAGCAUUAAAUUGCAUGAGUAUGUAUCGGGUCUCGUAGGCCCUAAUUAUUAUGAUUAUAAUAUUUUGAGGAUAUAUUGUGAAAAGUUAUAGAAACAUGUUAAUUAUUUUGAAAGUUUUAAUUUUGAUGAAAUUUUAUAACUCGGUUAAAUACGUUUACAAGUGUAUGUGUUUUGGUAAUGCCUCGUACCCUAUUCCGGUGUUGGAUACGGGUAAGGGGUGUUACAUUAUGUACAUAAGACAACCAAUUAGACUUGCAUAUUUUAAUUGAUCAAUUUUCCUACCAGCAUUAGAUACUAAUUUUAUUUGAGGAUCCAUGGGUGUAGAUGCAGGUAUACAGUUGAAAAGAUCAAACUUUUUAAGCACAUUUUCAAUGUAAUGUGAUUGUGAUAAAGCUAUAGUGCUUUCAUCUCGUGUUAUUUUAAUCCCAAGAAUAACAUCUGCUACACCCAUAUCCUUUAUAGCAAAGUUAUUUGACAAGAAUUUCUUUAUGUUUUCUAUUUGUUCCAAAUCUGUGCCAAAAAUGAGCAUGUCAUCUAUAUAUAAGCAAAUUAUGACACCUUUUCCAUUUUCAAAUUUGCUAUAUAUACACUUAUCGGAUUCAUUUAUUUUAUAGCCAUUAGCUAAAACAACAUUGUCAAACUUUUGGUGCCACUGUUUUGGUGCUUGUUUAAGUCCAUAUAAAGAUUUAUCUUACAAACCUUAUGCUCUUGUCCUGGAACAACAAAUCCUUUCGGUUGUUCCAUGUACACUUCCUUUUCCAGUUCACCAUUUAAAAAUGUAGUUUUAACAUCCAUUUGCUGAACAACCAAAUUAUAUAUAGAGGUAAGUGAUAUUAAGAGUCUAAUUGUAGCAAUUCUUGCUACUGGAGCAUAGGUAUCAAAGUAAUCAGUACCUUGUUUUUGUGUAAAACCUUUGGCUACCAACCUUGCUUUAAACUUAUCAAUGGUUUCAUCGACCUUCAUUUUCUUUUUGAAGAUCCAUUUACAACCUAUUGGUUUGGAACUCGGUGGAAGACCAACUAAGAUCCAAGUUUGAUUUCCCAUUAUUGAAUCUAUCUCAUCAUUUAUUGCUUCUUUCCAAAAAGUAGAGUCUUGAGAUUUCAUUGCCACUUCAAAUGUUCAAAUGUAAUAGGACCAGAUUUCGUAUUAUAACAAUAAGGUAUCUUAUUGCAUAUACUUUCACCUUUUUCCUUCUACAAGAAACAUAAGAAAAUCUGGUCCAAAAUCUUUGACCUUUUUAAUCCUCUUACUUCUUCUUAAAUCUUGACAAGAUUCAUCAUUAUUAUCAAUUUGUUCCAAUGGAAUCUCAUUCUCAUUUGAAGGAUGAAUCAAUUUUUGUAGAUGUAAUUGUCUUCAUAUAGAAUUAAAUCUAUUUUCAUCAAAAAUAGCAUCUCUUGAUUCAAUAACAGUAUUAAUUGAAAUUGAAUCAUUUGGUUUAAUUACCAUGAACCUAUAUGCCUUGCUAUUAUGAGCAUAUCCUAUAAAUAUGCAAUCAAUUCCUCUUUCACCUAACUUUUUACGUUUAGGUGUUGAAACUUUGACAAUAGCUCUACAACCCCAAACCUUUAAAUAAUUAAGGUUUGGUUUCCUUUUUUUCCCAUUGUUCAUAGGGAGUUACUUUAGUUUCCUUAUUAGGAACUCUAUUCCUUAUUAGGAACUCUAUUCCUUAUUAGGAACUCUAUUCAAUAUAUGACAAGCUGUUAGAACAGCUUCUCCCAAAAAACCUUGUCCAAAACUUGAUUAUGAUAACAUUGAAUUUACCAUUUCAGUCAAGACUCUAUUUUUCCUUUCAGCUACACUAUGUUGUUGUGGUGUGUGGGGGGCUGAAACUUGAUGGAUAAUCCCAGUGGAUUCAAAAUAACUUGGAUUAUAGUAUUCUCCACCUCUAUCCGAUCUUAAGCACUUGAUAAAUGAUUCACACUGAAGUUCAACUUCAGAUUUAUAAACUUUAAAUUUAUCAAGCGCUUCAUCUUUUGAAUGCAAUAAAUAUACAUAACAAUAUCUAGAACAAUCAUCAAUAAAAGUAACAAAAUAUUUCUUUCCACCUAAUGUAGGAGUAUUAUGCAUGUCACAUAAAUCACUAUGUAUCAAAUCAAGUAAUUUUGUUUUUCUUUUAACCUUAGGGAAAGGGUUUCUUGUAAUUUUAGUCAACAUACAUGUAUUGUAUUUUCCAAUAUUAUUAUUAAAAACAGGAAUUAAAUCUAACUUAUACAUGUCAUUUAAUUUCCUAUAAUUCAAAUGACCUAAUCUAUAAUGCCAUAAACAAAAAGACUCAACCAUAUAAGCAGAAAUAGUAUUUUUAUUCUUAUUAAUAAUAUUUAGUUUGAACAUACUUUCUUACAUAUACCCUUUCCCUAUAAAAAUUCCUCCCUUAGACAAAAUAAACUUAUUUGCCUCAAAAAAAGUUUGAAACCAAAUUAUUUAACGGACUUCGAGACACUAAAUUCUUUCUAACUUCUGGUGCAUAAUAUACAUCAUUUAAGGUUAAAACCUUUCCAGAAGUGAAUUGUAGUUCAAUAGACCCUUUGCCUUUGAUUGCUGCGGUGGAAGAAUUUCCCAUGUAUAAGACAUUUUCAUUUUCACAUUGUGUGAACUUUGUGAACAUGCUUUUGUCUUUGCACACAUGUUUGGUUGCUCUGGUAUCAAUCCACCAUGUAUUAUCAUCUUGAGCCAUAUUAAUUUCAGAUAUCAUUGCAAUGAACUUUUCAUUAUUAUCAGCCUUAGAAGAUGAUUUCUUCUUUAAAAAUCGACAUUCAUUCUUGAAAUGUCCCAGCUUACCACAAUGAUAUCAUGAGCCCUUUUGUUUAUUUUUGAACUUAAGUGCUCUAUCAGUCUGUUUGAAUUUUCUCUUGAAUGGUUUAGUAGUCAGUACUUCCUUCGUAACAUGCACUUUGGCAUUUUCAGAAUUUAGAUUCUGAUUUUACUUUCGAUAUUCUUCUUCAAUACGAAGAUGAUUUGCCAAAUCCUCAAGAGAUAUUUCCUCUUUCUUAUGUUUUAGACUUCUUUUAAAGUCUUUCCAAGAUGGAGGAAGUUUGUCUAUUAUGGAAGAUACAACAAUCAUUUCAUCCAUUUUCAUAUCUAUUGCUUGAAUUGAUUCAACAUCUUUUCAAUAUCACGGAAUUGUUCCAUAAUAGAACGACCAUCAACCAUUUGAUAAUUAUUAAAACGACUGAUAAGAAAUUUCUUACUUGUAACAUCCUCGGUCAUGUAUCUUGUCUUCAAUUUGUCCCAUUAUUCUUUAGCAGUGACCUCGUUUUGGUAUGUGUUGAACAAAACAUCAGAUAAACCAUUCAAUAUGUGGCCCAUGCAUAUAUAAUCAGCAUUGUCCCAUUUUUGUCUUUCUCAAGUUGCAGCAACAGAUUUGUUUUCAGUCUCGUUAGGUCUUGGAGUAUCCAAAAAAUAAGCAAUCUUCAAAGUUGAUAACAAGAAGUGCAUCUUUUUCUGCCAUCGUCGAAAAUUGCCACCAUCAAACCGAUCAAGUUUGACAAAAUUGGAAGCCAACUCCCUUAGUGUUCCACUUUCAUGAGUUGUGGUAGCCAUCAUGAAUUAUAACCUUAAAAUUGUUAGUACAAAUCUUCGGUGAGAAAAAUCUCGAACACACGAACAGAACUCGAACAGAAGAAGAAAUAGGACAACGCUCCAAGGCGUGUAUCAAGCCACUAUCUUUAAGGUUAAAUUCGCCCUCACCUAUCUUCGGUGUGCAAACGAGUUCCAAGCAAAUUAACCUCGAGGAUACAAUGAAGCCAAUAACUAUUUACGUUUUGCACUGACGAGAAUAGCCCACAACACACUGAGCAAUUGUAUGACAAGAAACUCAAUUUCUAUAAAGGAUUUCUACAGUAAUACUUUAUAGAAUAAUAUAAUAAUAUUAGAAAACAAAGAAAGGAAAGAAAGAAUAUUAGAAUUUGAUGGUAUGAUUUCCAAAUGAAAUCUCAUUCCUAUUUAUAGGAAUUUUCAUGUCUCUUCAUAGAGACAUCUUUCAUCAAUAGGUGUCUUUUUGAAUAAUAAUGUCUUUAAAAUAAACACAUAAUUAUUCAUUUAAUUAUAACUAUUCAAAUAAAAUUAUUUAAAUAGUUAUAAUUUUUUUUCAAAAAAUCAAACAAUAUAAUCUUUUGAUUAAUUACACCCAUUCAUUUAUAGUUAUUGGAACACUAUAAAUAUUUGAAAAUGUUCCAGCACCAAUCAGACUAUGAUAUUCCAAUUUCAUUCACACUUACCCAAAUAUAAUUCUUUAAAUAUAUAAAAGCAAUCAUUUAAAACGAUAUUCAAAGAGGGCCAAAUUGAAUGUGGAUGGUAGCCGGAACAGGUGAAACGGUGGUUGGAUGGUGGGAUUUUGGGUCCUUAAAAGGCAAUUGUAGUAUCUACCUUGCUGAAUUGUGGGGUAUUUAUCAUUAAAGGAAAUUUAUCAUAGAAUUUGAUUCUUUAAGCUCGGUAAUAAGAAGCAUCAUCCUCAUUUCUAUAUUGUUGAAGCACUAAGGGAUUUAUUGAAGAUGGAGUGGAUAUGGCGACUCCAUUGUAUUCCUAGACAAUACAACUUUAUGGCGGAUUGGCUUCCCAAAAAAAAUUGUACAUGAGUGUUUAUUGUUUAGUAUUUUUAUUUUUUAUGUGCCUCUUCAAAGGUCGCCGAGGUAAUGUUAGAGGUAGGAAAAGACAUUAAAGUAAGUAUUGUAUGAAACAGAGACGCAACAUCAUCCUAUAUCCCUUACAAAUUAUUUAAUGUCAUUUCAACAUCUUUUUUCAUGCCAUUGACACAUCAUUUUGGUAAUUUUUUAAACCUGAACCUUGGAACUUGAAACUCAGACCAUAGACUCUAGACACUAAAACCCUAGACUGUAGACCAUGGGUCCAAAGUACAGGAUCCAUAAUCCAAGGUUUAGGGUCACGUGUCCAGAGUCUAAGGUUCAAGGUUAAGGGUCCAGGAUUCAGAAUCGAGAGUCCAAGGUUCAAGUUAAAAAUUGUCAAAAUGAUGUGUCAAUGAUAUGGAAAAAGAUGCUGACAUGACAUUAAAUAAUUGGUAAGGGAUAUUGAAUGGUGUGGCGUCUAUGUUUCAUAAAAUUAUUUUCCAAUAUCUUGAUCUCAAAAUGUUUUUGUUUGGGUUUAAUCUUUUUAGUUUGGUUAAUCCCCUCAAAAAUAAUAAAAUUAUAAAUUAAUAUGUGGUAAAAUGACACUUUGACCUUUCAAAAAAUUUAAUAAUUCAAUAUUGACUCUCUAAAAAUAUUUCUAGCUCCACCUCUAAGGGGUUGCUCAAUUUGUUAACCAUGAGGAGUGAUGUGGUGAUUACUCACUUUAUCACUUAAUUAUGUGUUUGGGAUAUGAUCCCUGCUCAUGAAAUGAAGCACAUUUCAUGAACAAUCAUUUAUCUCUUCAAAAAGCACCCAUAGUACAGAGAUUAAUUACUGUUACCGACAAUAGCUUCUACAACGUAUAGCUAAGUAAUAUCAAUGUGACCCCUUACACUAUUCUAACAUUUUAUUCUUUUGAUUUUCAUUUAUUUUAGGAAUAUAUAUAUAUGGAAAGAUCUCUUGAUAUUUAAAUGAAUGCCUUAAAACUUAAAUGAAUGCACAAUUCUAAAAAAAAUUUAAAAUGUUUCAAUAAAUCAAAAUAAUUUAAGGUUUCAAACAAUAUGGAAUUAGAAACAAGCAAUUCAAUCUUUUCUUAAUCGCAACAAGACUUUCUUCCUAAGUAUACACUAUAAGCCUUAUCUUUAAUCUCGAGUUUAUCUAGUUCCUGAGUCUCAAAGUUGUAAAGUAAUAAUUGUGUAGUUAUGUAUUUUACUAAUUCUCCAAAGCCAAACAAGCUCAAAACUUCUAAAAUAGGUUCAAUGUUUAAUAGUUUGGUCCAACAGCUCUGGUCAUUCAACACACAAACAUCAUAACUUUUUUCAAAAUUUAUACAUCAUUUGAGUAUCCCAAAUUGAAAUAUGAUCUGUAAAGGAAGUAGCCUCCUAAUUGUUUUAUGAGAAGGUGAUUGAAUCAAACACAUAGCAACAAUAGAUUGUCAGGGGCACCCUUGCAAAAAUAAACAAGACUUUUCUUUUUGCUAGUACUAAGAUGUUGAGAAAUAAAGCUUGUAUUUUGAAAAGGUUGACACCAAGUUUUUUGCAAACAUUUACAAGCAAUUUUAAUAAAAUAUCAAUCAACAUAUCUCUAGAUAGCUAAGUUCCAUCGCUCAUGCUAUUCUAACUUUGUUCCUCUAAUAAAUCCUAAACAAGAAACUGAGAGAAAUUAGAUUAUCAACCAUAAUUCUUAAACAUCUAACCCCACAAUAUUUAUAUAUCUAACUCCAUUACUUUUUCAAGUCCUUGCGAUUAUGAUAUUCUACUAUGAAUCAGUGGUUAACACUCGCCAUGUUGCAGUCUCACUUCUAUACAUUCAACUAGAUUCACCCUCUCACUUAGUCUUUCCCCUCUCGAAAGCUUAAUUGCAAACUAAACAUAAUUAAUUUGUUUAAAAAUAAUUUGCAUGUUAACAAUUUUCUAUAAUAGAUAGGUUAGUGCUCUCUCCAUCUCGUACAUAAACCAAUAAACAAGUCUUAUUUAUAUAAGUAGUAUUAAACUAUGAAUCUCUGGCUAGUAUGAUCAAAUAACGCCCCGUAAAUCUCUUUUAAUUAAGUGAUUUUAAAAUGCAUAAAAUAAAGAGAGAUCUUAUUUACCUAAACUUCUUCAAAAUCAGUAUCACUCCAAAUAUAGUAAUUAAAUCACACUAGGAAUCUUUGAAUAAUAUUCUGGUUGAUCGAAUAACUUUAUCAAUCACAAUAUUAUAUAUUGUUUCUCCAAAUCUUAAAAUAUAUUUAAGUGUAUAAUUAAGAUAAAUAGGUCAAUACAUGCCGACCAAUAGUACAAAUUGCACAUCCAAUUACAAAGGUGCAAGUGAUAGUAUUAGUAUUCUUCCCCGUUGGCGUUUUAACUUUGCAACAAUUUCGUUAAGCAGGUAGACAAUCAUAUCAUGGAAACUCUCCCUUAUAAACACAAUCAUCAACCAUGAAAACCAAUCAUCAAUGCAUCAAAUUUCAUAGCAUUAAACAUACUAAAACUAUCAUCAAAGCAGCAAGAGUAUCUAAUAUAGUCAAUUAUAAUAUAUAUAUAUUUAUCAUAGAUUUAUCACUUUUUGUUUUCUCCACUCAUUCAGAUUUCUCUCAUGCAAUCCGUUAAUGUAAGUAACAAGUUAAAAUAACUUGUAAUUAAAUUCUUCCUCUUCAUCAAUUAAUUAUAAAGUUAUUUAGUCAAGGAAUCAAUCCACUAAAUGUACAUUGAGAUAUUUAUAUUAUCUUCAUAGUAUAUUUGUGAUAUGUUUAGGUUGAAUUUUCUCACUUAAUUUGAUCCUUAUUUAUCUCAUGAUCACCAUUGUAUCUUUUUGUAAUGAAAAUGAUAAUUACUUUUACCAGUAAUGAUAAAAUCAUUUGUCUCAUACAAAUGGCUCAUGACUAAGUUCUAUUUUCAUAAUCCAUAUAAUAUCAAUGAGAGAAUAUCAUUUACAUUUUUUUUAUCGAGUUAUGGUUUCACUAUUGUGAGUGAAGUCAUAUCAUGCAUAAGUCAUAUACUCAACAUACCAAUUUUCAACUCACUACAUUGAGAGCAUAGGCUUUCAAUAUAUUAAAAUAAAUGAGUCAUACACAAAUGGUCAUUCACCUAUUCAAGAUUUAGAUAAGUUAUACUAUGAACGUCACAAGCGAAUUAGUCCAUAAAAGAAUCUAGGACUGAUUCAACUUAAAUCCUAUCUGAUAUAUUUUUAAUUCAAACAAUCACAUAUAUUUCUCUGUUUUUAAGAAUCAAUUCAAUUCUAAUAAUUAACACAAAUUAUCUCUCAAUUUAAUUUUAAUAAAUAAGUAAAACCCGAAUUACAUUUAUUUGCAUUGUGAUAGUGGGCAUUAGAAAUUUUCAGUCGGUCCAAAAAUGACAUCUCCAUUGGAUGAAUUUCUGUUUAUUUUUCCUUUUUAUUUUGGCAUUGUGUUCAAUUAGAAAAAUACGUUUAAGAAUUUCCAGUGUAUAAAAUAAUAUUACAAAUUACACAAUGUAAAUUUAGGAACUAAGGCAACUGAAAUCAUCCUAAUAGAUCUUUGGGGUUGAAAUGUACAUAUGGCCAUCAUCAAUUUAAAAGUUUCCAUCACAUAAAAAGAAGUUAAAUCAUGUUAUUGUUUUUCAUUUUGUGAAAGUUGUGGAUUUAGUUUUUGCAUUUUAAUUUGAUUAAUUUUAAUUUUUAUACUUUUCAAAAUUUGAUAUUUUAAUCUUGACCGAGACAGUAAUUGUUAAAUUUGUUUAGUUAAAUUCAAUUACUAGCUUGUCUUCUGCAUACAAUUGUAGAGCUAGUCUAUAUUCUUCAAUUGGAUCAUUCUAACUCCCUAUACUUUUUUUAAUUUUGAAAUUUUAAUCUUGACGCAAAUGACCAUUAACCGAAUUUUUAAUGAGUAAUAUGUAGAAUAACAAGUUGACAUAACAUUACACAUAUGAUAAUAUAUUUGUAGCAUCAGAUUUUAAAAAUAGAAGAACUUAACUUAGUAGAUUUAAUAGUUAUUGUUUGGUGAAGACUAAAAUUUUAAACAUUGAAAAAUAUAGAAAUUAAAAAUGACCAACUUAAAAUACAAGAAUUAAUUUCACAACUUUCGCAAAGUAUAGGAACUAAUAGCAUAAUUUAACCUAAAAAAAAUUAUACUUUAUUAGUAUGAACAUCCAAGGUUAAUCUUUUAGAUAAUAUUAUACAUUUUUAACACUAUCAAUUCAUCUUAACAAUAUUUUAAUUUUGAUUAAUAUUGAUUAAUUAAAUAAAAAUUAAAAUAAUAAAUGAUAAUAAUAAUGCAAGCCUAUGUUUAUUGUUUACAAUAUAGUAGGUUUAGAAUUUAAAAUUUUAAAGAAAGAAGGUUAGAUUAAGAUUUAGGAUUGGGAUUAAGGUUUAAACUUGGAUAAAAUUUAAAAUAUAAAAUUUAGGUUUCAAGUUUUUAGAAUAUCAUAAAAAAAUAGACUAAUUUUUUUAAUCUCAAUCUUAAAUCUCACAAAAAAAAAUUGAUUUUGUUUGUUCGUUAAAUUUAAAAUAUGGCAACAAAAUUUAAUUCAGUGUUUCUUGAUGUAUUAUAUUAUUUAUAUAUUUUUAAAAAAUUAUAACGUAACGUGUUAAUUACUAAGUGUAUAUAAAGUAACUUUUUAAGAUCAUUUUGAUCUAAGAAGUCAUAUGGGGCAUAGUACUCUAACCAAAUUAUAAUACACUAUAGGCAUGAAAUCCACACAAAAAAAAAAGAGAGUAAAACUUGGACCUCUAUAUAUAUAUAUAUAUUUGAACAUUAAUCUUAUUAUUGGUUUUUAUCAUAUCUGCUCUUUUUUAUACAUUGUCUAGAACUACUCAUAGUCUCUCCCCAACCCUUACAAAGGAAAAUAAUACGAUUCAAUGCAUCCAAAUAUAUUCCUACACUGACAAUAAUACCAAUAUCAAUUAAGUUAAAAUUCAAUCAAAUAUAUAUAUAAAUUUUAUAUACCAACUAAAUAUUUAUUCAUGAAAUAAAUAGAGUAUAAGUUGGAGCAGGCAGGUUGAAUAUAAUGUAGAGAAUUGAAUAAAGAAAAGCUUAUAGCUGAGUACUAAAAAACAAAAAUAUCAUUUCACUGGAUUCGUCUUUGUGUAGUAAAGAGGAGGGAGACGAAAAUCAGUUUGGAAGGUACAGCAUAUAUAUAGUGAUUCACGGUAGGUGGGUGUCAUUGGCAUGGCAAAAGUUGAUUGCCGAAAGGUCAAUAAGGAGAAUCAAAUAUGGAGAACCAAGUUCCUAGUAGAUGUCUGGUCUGUGUGGCUCCGUAGGUACUUCAUAAUUUUUUUUCUCAUUUAAUUCUUUUUAUACGAAUUUAGCAUUAUGAUUUUUAUUUUUUUUAUACAAUGUCUAUAACAACCUAUAAUACAUUCUCAACCCUUAAAAAUAAGAAGAUAACGUGCUUCAGCGUAGUCAAACUCACGCUUUCUUACACUAGCAACAAUAUCGAUACCAACAAAGUUAAGACUCAAUUGACACAUACAAUCAUAAAAUUUAAACAAAACAUAAAUGCAAAUACAAAUAUUAAUAAAACCUAAUGAAAUUAAUAAGGAUUUACUUAUAAACAAGUUAAAUAAUCCUUGUAAAUAGGUAUUUUUAUAGUUAUUUUUAGUAUUUCUAUUUAGUUUUUAUUUUUAAUGAGGAUUUACGUGGUUUUAUAAAUGUUUGGAGGAUAAGUGGUGCGAUAGAAGGAAAAGAAAGUCGAAGCCACAUAAAUAAAUGAGGUCGAUAAACCAUUGCUCCUCCUAGGAGGCUAGGUACCCUGGGAUGAUGUUACUUUUUACGAAAUCUAUGUUAAUCUUUUCAUAUCUAGAUAGAUUUUUAACACUAUAAAUUAAUAAAAAUAAGAAGAAGAAGAAUAUGAGCGUGUUAAUACUCAAGGUUGCAUAAAAUCUAAUAAAAGUUAAUGAAAUAACAUCUAGAUAUUCUCCAAAUUUAUUUCUUCUAACUAGGGCGAAUCUGAAGGGCAGGCAGGGGUCUUGACCUCCCCUCAAAUGGAACAUUACUAUUUAAGUCCUCUAUAAGAUUAUUAAAUUAAAAUUUAGUUUAUAAUAAACUUACAUUUUAAUCCUCUAAAAUGAAGAAAAAUAUGUUUAAUCCCUUCAAAAAUAAUAAAUUAAUAAAUUAUAAAAUUAUAAAAUUAUGUUUUGAUCUCUUAAAAUUUUAUUCUUAAAUUUUGUCCCUUAAAAAAAUUUUGGAUUCACUGAAUAUUUAGGUAUUUGUCAUAGAUGGUUUAUAAAUGGUUUUUUUUUAUUAGCAACUUGAACCUAAAAUCCUUGCAUUUUAUUUUAAGCUAUGAAGUAUUUUAAUUAAUAGAGGCACCUUGGCUUACACCAUAUUAUGGGAGAUUUGUUAAUUGAGUGUAUCUCUUAUUGGGAUUUUGAUCUAAAAGCUAAAUUACUCUAUAAGGUUUGGGUAUGGAAUGAUGGGGGGCAUUGGGUCAAACUGUUAAACAUUGAACAUAUUUUAGGAGUUUAAAAAGGGUGAAAUCAAAAAAAGAUUUGGAUAUCGGAAUUAAAUUAUAUAUUUUUACAAUAGUAAAAAUAUAAUUUUAUCAUUUUAAUAGUUUAUAUCUUUAUAAUUUUUAAAGAAUUAAAUAAAAAUUUUAUCAUAUUUGAAGGGCCAAAGUGUAAUUUUACUAUUACUAAUUUAAAAUUUUAUAAAUUAUAAAGGGGCAUAAAUAAAAACUUUUCCAUUUUAAGGGGGGUCGAGGGCCUUAUCAACCCCCGCCAUUGAAUUUCAAUGACGUUUUUCUAAACCAUUUCUUUAGGAUCGAAAAAAACGGGGAUGACUUUUUGAAAUAAAGUGGAGUCGCCACCAAUCUUUUUGUUUAGGUGUGAUUGGGUCACCUAAUAAAACAUUUUGUUUCACUUAAAACAAUUUUGGUCCACGUAAAUUUAAAAAUGGGUUCAGGAGCUGAUUACGUAUGAGGAAGGGUUAGCACCCUCACUACGCCCAAAAAUUGGUACCAAAUUGAUUAAUUGAUGUCCUUAUGUCUAGGGUUUUUAAAAAAAUUUGAAAUGUGGUUCCUUUUUACAACAUUUGAGUAGUCUAAGCCGGUCGUCAAAGCUUUCUCGUUUCAAAGGUAUAAAGCAUCACAUCUAGCACAAUAGGACACGAUCCUUUCUACCUUUGGGAACACGAUUGAUUUUUUUUAUUUCCAAAAGCUUUUUAGGUCAAAAAUUACAAAAGGGUGUCCAAAUAUUUAGUCCAACGAAAAAUCAAAACCCAGCACGGUAGGGCACGAUUUCUCAAAUUUCCAAAUAUUGAACAUUGCCUUGUUUUUUAACAAAAUUUAAAUAAAUGAUUUGUAAACUAGCUCGAAAUGCCUUGAUUUGACUUGAAAUAAAAUAAAAUAAUUGAUUUAAAAAAAAAGUCAGAAAUUACCAAACAAAUAAUAAAUAUGGGAUAACAUGCACCAAUAAAAUACAAUACUUGACGAAUGAAGAUGAUAUAACCUUAUUUAACCUACUAAUAAUUAAAUAUAAUUAAUCUAAGAAAAAUGAUAUCAAAUUGUCAAGCAUGGAUGGAGAACAAUUAAAAUUACAAUGAAGAAUAAAUACAACAAUAAUGUAUGUGGCAUAAUAUAAAAUAAUCAACACAAAAUGUAUAAAUAGAAAUUAGAUGUCAAUGUGAUAUAAGACAAUUUUAAAAUAACGAUGAAUUGAUGAACACAUAACAUAUAUAAUAUAUGAAUUGUUGGAUUAAUGAAUUUGAAAUAACUUGUAAAAAAACUAAGGAUAUAUAAUUAUUACAAGAAAUGUUAUAGAGUAAAAAUAUUUGAAUCAAAUAAUAUGCAAAAUGUAAAAAAAAAUUUAAAAUUGACAACGUACACACAAAUAAGGAAAACUUAAAAAAAAUUGAAAUGAUAAUAAUAUAUAUAUAUACACUAAAAUAUAAUCUUAUGCAAUCAAUUAUAUGCAUAAUAGAUUAAAAAAACACAUAUAUGUAUAUAAAUAAAUUUGGAAACAAUUAUACGGAAAAACAUAGGAUUAAAAAUAUAUAUAAGAUCAAAUUAACUUUAUCAGGCAUUAUGUAUGUACAAAUAUAUAUACAAACGUUUAGACGAAAUAUUAUACGAAAUGUUAAAAUAAAAUGAUAUUAGAAAAACUUCAAAAUAAUGAUUUUAUAAAAAAACAAAGUAAGGUUAAAAAUAAAAAAAAACAAGCGAAUUUCAAAAUAAUAUUGUUAUAAAUAAAUAAAACUCGAUCAAAAUAAUAUAUAUGUACAAAUAUAUAAAAAGAUUUGAACCAGAAAUUAUACAAAAUAUUGAAAUUAUAUGAUAUAAAGAAGAAUUUCAACGCAAUUAUACAAAUAAAAACAAAGCGAGAUUAUUAGAAUAAAUCAACACAUACAUAAAAAUAUUAAAUGAAUUUUAAAAUAAUAAGUCAUACAAAUAGGAAAAUUAAUUAAAAUUGAAUUAAAACAUAAGGGAUAAUUUAUAAAUAAAAUAAGUCAUUUAAAAAUUAAAAAGGACCAGCGUGCCACGCAUGUGAAUGUUCAGGGACCACAUCUGGAAAUAUUCUAGAUCCCAAAACACAGCACCUAGGCGCGGACUGAAAUGCAAAGACACGCGAAUUCUAGGACAAAUUUGAAAUAAAAUAAAAUGUAAAUAAAGAUCAAUUAAAAGUCUGCACAAAGGCGAGGGAUCAGACGCGCAAAUUGACCAUUCAAGGUAAAAGGCGCGGAUCCGGGCCACGAAACAGGUCGGCACGCGGAUCCUCUCCUGCCUAAACGGCGCCGUUUCGUACUCUAUACAAAACAAGGUUAAAAAAACCCUAAAACUAACAUACAGCCAUUUAAAAGCAAAUCUAAAUAAUAAUAAUAAAACCUAAAGCCUAUCUCUCUUCUUCAUUCGACCAAACCUAAAUCCUCACUCAACCAUCGCCUCGCCUCGCCUCGCCUCCGUAAUCAGCAAACGGAGUCGCACGAAGGCCUAAUCGACCCUGUUCGACCAUGAAUCCGAGGGUUUUGCCAUUCUUAAGCCUCACAAUCCCUAUUUGAGCUUCGAUUUCUUCAAAGCAAACAAGGAUUCGAGGGCCUUUAUCACGAUAAGUAUCUUCCCUCUCCUUUAUUUUUGUUUUUUCACUCCUAUGAUAACGAAAAUCAAAGAGAUAAAAGCAAAAUGAAAAAGAAAAAUGAUCUUUCAAAUUACCACUUGAAAACAGUCUUUUAUUCACCCUUUUUGGUACCGAUUUGUAUGCGUAAAUAUGCGUGUAUAUUUCUGCCAAAAAAAAGAUCCCAUUUACAUCAUUUUUCUGGCUUUUUAUAGCUGAUUUACAUCAUAAAUAAAAUAAAAAUUGUAUUUUCUUGCUGUCAUUUAUUGGCCUAUUUUUCUGUUAUCAUUUCUGUUGAUCUUCUCGCAGGUUCCAUUGGAGAUGGUCGUUCGAAAGGAGCAUUCGUGAGCGUGGGCAUGGGAAACCACUUGUGGGAGUGGCUGACUUGCGGCACUAGCAGAUUCCAGAAACCCUAGAGGUUUCUGGUAUUUCAAAACUAUUGGGCCCCCUUUGGGCCAUUUGUAAAUUGGGUUUUGGACUAGUGUUUCAAUUUUGUUUUGGGCUAUAUUUUGUUAUUGGGCUUGAAGGGAUUUAUUUGGGUUAAAUGUAAAUUUGGUAUUUAUGGACUGUGGACUAUAUUUUAUUUUUAUUUGGUUUAUUUAUAAAUUUAAAAGCCCGGGCAAAAUGGGCCUUCUACAACGUUCAGGUUUUACAAUUAUUUUCUAAUUUUAUCAAACUGUUUUAGUGUUUGCUCUAUCUUUAGAUUAUGCAAAUCAAAACCUAUUAUUACCUAAAACAAUAAUUCUAGAAAACAUAUUAUCACAAACCAUAUCCCCCUAUAUGAUUUUAUGUUAUGAUAAUUAGAAAUAACAUAUAAAAUUUAAUGAAAAGAGUCGGUAAGUAAUUCUUGAUUUGUAGAGAAUAGUAGUUAAAGUUUUUAUCAGACACUCAUUCGACACAAAUUCAAAUAUUGUCCAU